CUCUGUGUUCUCUUAUGUCUGUGUCGUCAACAUUUGAACAUUUUUGAGCGGUCCGCUCUUUCUGACUGUAAACAAAGCCGUUCUCCACCUCCUCUAACCUGAUUGGUUGUGAGGCAGACGCUGCUCCCCUGUGUCGUUCAGGAGCCCAAACAAAGUUAGCGUGCUACAAUAUCGGACAGUAGAAACCAACCAGAAAGUUCGGAAAAUUGUCUGAAUCCUCCUUUGGCCACGACUGCCGACACAAGCAAGAAAACAAAGUAAAUACCGGAGACUCUGGAGGAAUAACGGGCGCUUAAAAUGGAGGUAGACCGGACAAGAGCUAAAAAGCCGGCUCAACAUAAACCAUGGGGGACGCUUGGGGAUCUUGGUGACCCUGUAACGUUUCUGCUGGACAGGUAAACCGCUUUAACAAAGUAAGACAAGUGUCUGUAACAGAAGUGUUUCUUGUCAAACGGACCUGCUGUAGCGUGUUGUAGCGCCAUCGCUAAACUGUCCUCCCUCGGGUCCUGGACUAUGUCACUUUAUCCUAGUUGUAGAAGUCCUGCAAACAUUGUGUUUGCUGGUAGUCUGUUGGCAUCUACAGUAGCACCAAUGCUUUUGACUUUCACCUUGACUGGGCCCCAUUUGUAAUGAUCUGAAGUAUUUAUCUGCAUUAUAUCUGAAUUUAACUGGAACGAUACGAGCGAGCAGGAGCGUCUGUUUGUGGGCGGGGCUUGAGGGGAGAGGAGGAGCUGAGGGGAAAACUGGUUUGGAGGGGUAGAGUUUAUAUCAAGAUUUCUCCCAAAAACUGGAACUUCCUCAGAUCCUGACUACACCACCUUUAACUGGUAUAUAACGGUUGAUCUUGUGCAGAAGUUUCAGUCCAAUAAAAGGUUUGCAAUUGAGUCACACUGACUCACAAAUACACACCCAUGCAACACACACAACCCCUGCAUGUGUCUCUGACUCCAGUGUGUAAUUGGAAGGGCGCGGAGGUGGCGAUGCUCAAUUAGCCCGGUUGGUCUCUGUUUGUGAGGGUGAAUUGACUGACCACAAGUCAUCUGGAGGAAGACCGAGACCCCAUCACGACUUUGACACCGAUCUCCUCCCUCAUUUCUGAGCUGUAAUCAGACUCAGCCGGUUUCAGUUUUAAUUGGAGGACAACAUUUAUUUCCACAUAUGAAAGUAACGAAGAGGGUACACUGGUUGUUUCCAAGUUUGAUGAUGAGGAAGGUUUAAUCAGUGCGAAGACCUGAAACACACUUGGAUUUACGACAUGAAACAGACCCUGCAAAAAGCCUUUAAACGAACCAGAUAAGCCACCCUGAGCAAGAACUGGAGUUACAGAAAACAAGAUCAGAGUUUUGAUUUCAACAGCGAUAAAAGAGAGAGGGGAGACUGGGCAGUCUAGAGGCCAGGCCAGGUCAAAUAUUACAGAUAUAACCUCAGAAACAGAUAAAUGUCCCCAUAAAGUAAAUGAUCUGACAUGUUCUCCUCGAAUAAACUUGAGUGAAAUAAUUAUGAGACCUUAAACAUGAAGCUUGAUUAAAUGUUAUCCUCAGAAAACCUUUGAAAAUUCGUUCAUAUUGAAGAUUUAUUGUCCUGCCAGUGAAUCCUGUGGUAUAUGACAUUAAUCCUCAGAGUAUAGACUUGUUUUUACAUAGAUGUACUAAAACAUAAACAUGCAAUCAUGUAAACAAAGUAAAAGAAUAACUGUAGAGGACCCAGGACAGAACCCUGGGGCACUCCACAAGGUCAUAUGUCCAUAUUUAACACAAACAUGAACUUCAUCUGUUAACAUUAUUGUCAACUGGACAAAAAACCAUCAGUGUCAGUGUUUCCAUCAUCCAUCAGGAAAACAGAAACUUGUUGAUCUGUUUUGUGUAAGUGGAAUUCAUCACUUUCUUUUCAAAACCUUUAAGUUUUUCCAACACCACGCUGGGACACUGCCAGGUUACAGAGAGCUAUAAAGAACAGAGACCGAGCCGGUACACGUCGACUCAAGGACAUUUUUAUAUAUAGAUGUUGGUAAAAUGUCAAGGAGAGUCUGGGACGGUUUUAUCCUCGCCCACAAAAGUGAAACACGCUUCUGUUAAAACGUCAGUGAAGAUGUUUGAUUCUGUAAAAGAAAUUUAAGAACUGAGAUACCCUCUUUAUUUUACUGUGGCACUUUUCUCUGCGACCCUGUAUCUACCUUUAUUUCUGAUCCACGUUGAAUCGUAAUGUUUCAUCCUCUCCCCAUCAUAUAAUGUCUUUAAAGUGCAGGAAUUUAGGACAGACAUUAUUUUUGUCUCGAUGAACUUUCUUUUAAAUAAAUAGAUGUUUCUUUGGGAUGGCUAAACAAGACUUUAUUAGAUUUCAUUUGGCAACAACUUGCAUGAAAAGUUUUCUGCAGCUUUAGUAAACAAACUUUUGCACAUGCACAGCAUUUGCAGAGCAUAUUUAGUUAUAAAAAUCAUUUCUGUGGUUUAAAACAAAAGGAAAAGAAAAAAAAACAGAGAAAAGUUAUCUUAAAUAAAUCAGAUGUCCCUUUAGGUUCUUCCUUUCAUGACCCAUUUGAGACUUUAGAGUCCGUGAAUGGUCACAUGAUCCACACAUGGCUUUUCCAUCAUUUCCACCCUCCUUCUUUUUUUUCCUCUUCAGGUUUUCCAUCAAUAGUUCGGGGAUGAGACUCUUAACGGUUCAUCUUUCUGGGAAGACUCUGUUUGGGGUAAAAAUUAGGAAAGGAUGAGAGAGAGAGAGAGAGAGAGAGAGAGAGAGAGAGAGAGAGAGAGAGAGAGAGAGACGGAGGACUUUGAUAUAGAAAGGUGGACUCAAACCGGAGCCCACCUCCGCUGCUCCCAUCUGGAACAGCAGAGCCGUGGCAGUAACGCACACAUGGUCAGAGUUAGGUCUCAGCAUGUCUGGAUGGUGUACAGAGCUGUGUCAUAAAGGAUUACAGUGAGCUGGAGGAGCGAUGCGCCGAGGCUGUGGGACUGUAGGUAAAAUUAUACAGGCCGAGGGGAUCCAGGAGGUCGCUUAAAAAUGUAAUUUGUCACAGACUACCAGGUUCAACUCGGUAAUCUGUAAUAUGAUACAGCACAAUGGGAUGCAGCUCCGCUCGUCCCCUCGGCUUCAUGUAAUUCAGGCGGAAUUCACCGCAGCACAGAGUGUAUCGCACAGUUAUUAGUGGAGUGCCAUCUGUCUCAAGAUACAGGAAAAACGAACUCUCACUUUGGUCAGUAUAUUUGGAAUUGACACGAGGAGACGCUCAUUUUGUCUGAAGUUUAAAUUCAGAUCCCAAGAAAGAUGUAACAGUUAGCUUUUAAGAAGCACAGAGUGUUUAGGAAAUAAGAUAAGUACAAGCAUAAACAGGAGUUAAUUUAUAAACCAGUUUGCAGUGUAGGAUAUUACACAGUGUAGCUUAAAUGUAUCAUUAUUAGCACUUUUAAAUUAUUGAAGUUUUUCCCAGUUUACAACACUUUGCACAUUUGAGUGUAAUUAUAUACAGCGGUGAGGCUAACAGCAACUUCAUGAGAAUAAGGCUGCAUUCCAGUAACCUCAGAAGUUGGAUGUCGGAGCUGGGAAUGAUGUUACAACCGAGUUGACGGCAUUCUUGUACAAACAAAUCUGAAAACCAAGAUGGACGCCUACUGUUAACCAUUGUUAGCUGUUGUUUACAAUUGUCAGCUGUCGUUGUAAACAAUGCAUAACACAGUAUUUGACUCUUACAAACACCAUAGGGCUGUGUUCACAGUUAGACAUCGGGCAGUCACACAUCGAGCUGCACUCUUGAAACUCCACCCCGCUCCUGGCCCCAUUAGCUCGUCCAUCUAAUUUGCCCGAGAUCUCACAUCGCCCAUAAUGAGAGAGGGGAGACAUGGCGUGUACCUUCUUUCCAUAAUAAGCCUCCAUUGUCUUCCUCAAUCCCCUCUGAGGUAACUAUAUGUAGAAGGGACAAAGCUGAAAUAGGAAAAAAAGGAAAAAAGUACGAAAGUGAGCAAGGGUGACUGUAACAGGCUAAAAUCUGUGUUUAAAUCUGUUUUUUGCAGCUCAAAAGCAAAAUGCAUACAAGUGCAUAUAAGAAAAUAAAGUAUAUGAACUGAUUUAUGAAACAUUGACAGUUUGAUUCACUUUCGAAAAUGAGGAAUUUUUCAUGGGAAGGGAAGUCAAUUAAUCCAACUUCCUGCGAGUGAGACACAUGCUUCAAGUUUGAGGACUGGGGGAGUCGAGUAUCACUCAGCUGUCAGUACGGAUGGGCUGAACCUGCUGGCAGCUGUCAAACACAUCCAGGCGAGCUGGCACGAGUAGAGCCGACAUCUUUUAUUCAAAAUUGGUCGCUAAGUUGAGAUGAUCUUGAAGACUUAAAAACAGGCAACUGGACUGUGUAGAGUUGAGAAGACGUUUCGCCUCUUAUCCAAGAAGCUUCUUCAGUUCUAAAAGUGCUAGUGUCAGGAGCAGAUAUUUAUCUUACUGGAGAAGGGGGACAGUUAACGACUGGGAGGAGUUGAAAAGAAUGGAUCGUAGAAACCCAUCUCUCGGUGUGUCCCCCCCAAGUCGUUAUCCUGAAAGGGUCGUUAGCGACUCCUAUCAUGUGACCACAUGACUCAUGCCACCUGAGUCAUGUGGUUCCAGGUGUGAAUGUUUGUGGAGCUUUCUGGGGAGAGAGCUGAGAACUGCAUUGUAAGUGCCAGAGAGAUUGUGCCUGAGUCCACCCCCUCUGUUCAGAGAAGGUUUCUCCAGUCUGGUAAAGAUGGCUUCUUUAACUCCUCUUUCAAACCAUCUGUCUUCUCGAGCCAACACCUGUACAUCGCUGUCCUCAAAAGAGUGACCUGUAUCCUUCAAGUGAAGGUGGACAGCUGAGUCCUGACCUGAGGAAGUGGCUCUCCUGUGUUGAGCCAUGCGCUUGUGAAGCGGUUGUUUAGUUUCCCCAAUGUACAGGUCUGAGCAUUCCUCGCUGCACUGGACAGCAUAUACCACAUUACUCUGUUUAUGUCUCGGUGUUUUGUCCUUGGGAUGGACUAGCCUCUGCCUUAGUGUGUUACCAGGCUUGAAAUGAACAGGAAUGUGGUGUUUGCCAAAGAUCCUCUUGAGUUUCUCAGACAGGCCUGCAACGUAAGGGAUUACAGUGCUCUUGCGUCUCUCCUCCCUUUCCUGUUCAGUGUUAUUUCUCUUUCUGUUCUUCACAAAGGCCCACUUAGGGUAUCCACAGGUUGUCAGGGCAUUUUUGAUGUGCUUUUGUUCCUUUUCCUUACCUUCUUUCUUCGUGGGAAUGUUCUCGGCCCGGUGGUUGAGUGUUCUGAUGACGCCCAGUUUGUGCUGCAGAGGAUGGUGGGAAUCAAAAAGUAGAUAUUGAUCCGUGUGUGUUGGUUUCCUGUACACUUCAACGUUGAGACACCCAUCUGCCUCCAAGUGUACAGCACAGUCCAAAAAGGCCAACACUUUGUCCUUGACAUCUUCACGGGUGAACUUGAUGUUGCUGUCCACUGUGUUGAUAUGGUCAGUGAAGGCCUCUACUUCAUGUGUUUUGAUCUUAACCCAGGUGUCAUCCACAUAUCUGAACCAGUGGCUAGGAGCAGCUCCCUUGAAAGAGGUUAGGGCCUUCCUCUCUACCUCUUCCAUGUACAGGUUUGCCACUAUAGGAGAAACUGGGGAGCCCAUCGCACAUCCGUGUUUCUGUCUGUAAUGGCGCUCUCUGAACUGGAAAUAGGUGGUGCUGAGGCAGAUGUCCAAUAAGGAGCAGAUGUGGUCCGGAGUUAAGUUGGUUCUGACUUCCAGUGUGCUGUCCUGUAAGAGGCGUUGUCUUACUGCUUGGACUGCCUCUGUUGUUGGAAUACUUGUGAAAAGUGAUGUGACAUCAUAGGAAACCAUGGUUUCAUCUGGGUCCAACCUGAUGUCCUUGAUUUUCUCAGCAAAGUCCUGUGAGUUUCUGACGUGGUGAGUGGUGUGGCCGACAAGAGGAGCUAGGAUGGUGGCCAAAUGUUUUGCCACUUUGUAUGUGACUGAGUUAAUGCUGCUGAUGAUAGGUCUAAGGGGCGCCCCUUCCUUGUGUAUUUUUGGUAAUCCAUAAAUGCACGGGACAGCUUCCCCUGGGUACAGUCGGUAAUAGAGUGGGCGGUCGAUAACUCCAUCCUUUUCGAGCUGUUGAAGUGCACUGAUAACUUUCUUUUUGUAGCUGUUGGUGGGAUCCCGUUUAAGAGUUUCAUAGGUGGCAGUGUCACUGAGAAGGCUUGUUACCUUGUCAUGGUAAUCCCUGGUGUUGAGUACCACAGUGCAUCUCCCCUUAUCUGCAGGCAGGAUGGUGAUGUUUUCAUCUUUUUGCAGUGAUGCCAAGGCUCUUCUUUCCUGCAUGGUCAAGUUGGAAGGAGGUGUUUUGGCAUUUGAGAGAGCAGCUGUUACCUUCAGCCUAAGUUGUUCUGCCUCCGUGACCACCAGAUUGUUGUUGCGGAUCGCUGACUCCGUGGCUGUGAUAAGGUCUACCACCGGGAUCUGUUCAGGGGUAACUGCAAAAUUAAGUCCUUUGUAAAGGACUUCCUUUUCCGGCUGAGUGAGGACCCUGUCUGACAAAUUCUUCACCCACUUUUCUUGCAUGUUGGUAUCUAUGUGGCUGUCCGUUUUGUCCCUCCAAACAAGUUCUGAUGGACUUCUUGAGUGCUUGGAGAGCAGUCUGUCAAAUUUCUGUGUUUGCCUUAUCUUGCCUUUGUUGUGUUGAGAGUUCUGAGCCUUGUCAACAAAGUUGUGAACUUUGUUGAGGAUGUCCUCUGGAAGUCGGGAUGCCAGUGUCUCCUUGGUGUGAUAUAUUUUAUCUUGUAAGGCCUAGAUGGUGAAGUUAACCUGCCUAAUCCUUUCAUUGAGGAGCUGCUUCUGUGUCCUGCAAAGGAUACUGUCUGCUCUGUGCCCUUUAACGGUGGAAAACAAGCGUAGGCUUUUGGGAACAAGUCCUUGCUGUCUGCAUCUUAGGUUGAAGCGGAGGUGGUUUCUGUAAUCCGCCAUCUUCCUGCAAGUUUUCUCGUGCUUAACUGUCCCCCUUCUCCAGUAAGAUAAAUAUCUGCUCCUGACACUAGCACUUUAAGAACUGAAGAAGCUUCUUGGAUAAGAGGCGAAACGUCUUCUCAACUCUACACAGUCCAGUUGCCUGUUUUUAAGUCUUCAAGAUAACCAUGACCUGGAUGAAUGAGAAUCUACAUGGACUAAGUUGAGAUGAGUUGGACGAGUGAAGGAAGAAACUUUAAUGCCCAGAGUGCAUAUAGAUGUGUGACCCUGCAGAGGAAGUUGUUUUACUGGUACAGAGCGACAAAGAAGUGAAUCCUGCUGGACAACUCUUAAAGUUUGAGGGUUUUUUAGGGUCUUAGAAGGAGCGUUUGAAAUGUGCUUUUGUUUGUAGUCUGGCCGUGCAGCACCUUUGUUUUCCUCUGCAGAGCUCAGAGCAACAGUAAAUUCAUGAUCAGAGUCACUACAGCGAGCUGCGAGAGAGCAGCAGUGAUUAAAGCCGGCAGGAAGCGUGCAGACCUGAGGCGGCGUUAUUACAUGUUUGUGUGUUUAUCUGGGCCUGCAGAAACACACACCAGCGCGGCUAUCCGAGUGUGUGUCUGCGGAUUCCAUGUCUGUGAGUGUCUCCGCCCUCCACACGUGUAAUCAGCCAUUUAAUCAAAGUCCAAGGUCAGACAGCACACGCGGAGAGAGUGAGGGCGCUGAGAGGCUUCGCUGGCUGAAGUUUAAGAGUCACUUUAGUGGGUCACUCACACAUCAGUGCGAGAGCGGCGGGGAUUGUUCUGCUGUUUACAGCCGCAGCCGCAUUGAUUUUCUCAUAACGGGUAACUCGUAACUGCUGUUCUCAACAGCUUGAGUAAUCAGCCGACACAUUUACAUGCCUCCGUUCAUGCUAGCCUGCAGGGGCAUUUUGUAAUCAGCAGCGACAUCCAAUCAGAGAAGAACACAUGGCGUUUCAAAUGACCACGUAUGAAAAAUGGCGUGGUGUUAAUACACAUUCAUGGAGCUGAUUUACUCUCUCCUUUUUUUAAGGGACACAUGAGGAGUCUCUCUGACCUUCCAGAUUUAUUUUGCGCUGGUUUCCUUCAGUGCAAAAUAAAGCCAAGAUUUGACAGAUCCCUUCCCCUCUUUGGGUUCAGGAUCCCUCAUGGACCCUCCUAGGAAGUUGUAAAUCUCACCUGGAGAGAAAUGAAUGAAACACAACAUUGUCCUCAUUUCUCACAGAUGCAAGAGGAACGCUGUACCCUUAAAAUUCACAUGAAGUUCCUCUGGAGCUGAUCCGGGUCUGGUUUAGUCCAUGUUCAUGUAUCAGUAGCUGCGUUUAUAUAAGGACAAAUAAUCAGAAUAAAAAUGCAUGAUGUAAACGUGUCGAUCGGAAGAUUCUGAUCCACUUCAGCUCAAUCAGAAAGAAACUGUAUUCCUACAGAGAGGGGUUACAAUAUUAACACUCUGGUGUAAAGCACAACCGAAGCUCCUCUGCUCCUCUGAUAACAUAACAAGGCGUACAAACAGCGUGAUGAUGUCACAUCUGCACGCACAAAGCAACCUUUGACAGAACAGUAAAAUAAGUACACAAGAGCGCCAUCUAUUAACAACAUUUAACAGAGGGAAAACUCCUGAAUUGGAUGAAGUGAGCCACUACUGCGUUUGUUGGUUUGUUGACAGCACAGGUGUAAAUACAACUCUUCUUCUUCUUCUGCGGUUGUUUUAGCGAAAUCAGACAACUCUGCUCAUGUUCAAUGCUUCUAAUCUGAAUAAAGCUCGAUUAUUUGAUUUUUCGCUCAUUUGAACAGUGGAUUCAGAUUAUCUGAUCCCUCAUAUUUUUAAUAGGAUCAAGACAUUUUGCACAUGUAAACGCGGCUAGUGGUGCAUUUUGUAUCUGGUGCUGCACCUGGAGCGACAAAUCAACAAAAUACAUACUGAUCCUUGGUCAUACAAAAGCAUCCUGAUUGUCUAACAUGCAACUAGAGUAACAUCUGCGUACAUAUUUGUAAAUAAGUAAGUAAAGUUUAUUUAUAGAUUACUUUUCACAGAUAAAAAUCACAAAGCGCUGUACAUAAAAAGUGCAAUUAGAGAAACAUAGAACAGUACAAAAAAGAUAAGUACAUGUAUAUACAUAAAUACAAAUACAGUACAGUGAAUAUGGAAAUGAGUGCAGAUAUAAAAGAUAACUAAAAUAGACGAGUUUUAAAAACGUGUCUUUGGCACCAUUAGAAGGUUCUGGCCUGACGAGCGAAGGGUGGCCCCCUGGGGAGUAGAGGCACAACAAAUCAGUGAUAUAUUGGGGUGCAUCUGUGUAAUUAUAAGAGGAAAAUAUAUAAAAUUAUCUUGUUUUGUACCUCAGAGUGAAGAGCAGUGAGGAGAAGAGCGGAGCUGCCAGCUCUGACUCAUUGUUUCCUUUCAGCUAAAGUGAGAAUAAUGUGAUUGUGUCACAGGUGAUGUUCAUGAUCCAGCGUGUCAAACACCUGGAAACAGAGACCUUUUUUCCGAGCCACGGAUGAUGAUGAUGCCGUGAAAUGUUUCCCUCUCUCGCCCCGCGGCGUGGUAAUCUCAUUGGUAACAAACAGUCUCAAGUGACGAGAGGAUUAAGAGAGAUCUGUGACACAUUUAGAGUCGCUCAGGUGUUUGAGCGCUGAUUUUCAUGGAUUAUUGGAGAGAGGCCGCGUGUAUCCGGCCAGAACAAAGCAGACAUGAUGAUUUUAUGAUCUGGAACAUUCCUGUGAACGUCCGCACAUACAUGUAGGGGUUAUACACUGAGACUGGGGAGGCCGUGUAAACCAAAUCAGUCUGUGUCAGGAUUUUAGACUAAACUUCUGAUAAUAAAAAUCACGCAUUGGUUAAGUUUGUCCGAUUGGAGUUGCCGUACAAGCUCAAACCACUUUAAAUAGUAUAGAAAAAAUAUUAUAUUUUACAGUCAAAAGUCUCAAUUGUUCAUCAUACUGAGUGUGUUUGUUCCACUUCUUUUAAAGACCCACAAAAACUGAUUUUUUUGUGCCAAUUUUUGUCACUCCGAACCUUUUAGUAUAACUUUUUCUGAAGGAAACUUGGCCUUCAAACUCUUGAUUUAUGCCUUUAUAUAUUUUAUGUUUUUUAUCAGAGAAAUGCGCCUGGCUCUGCUCUUAAAUCAUUUAUAUGUUGAAACGUCUUUAUAUAGUUCAAAGAUUGCAGAAACAUUCACAUGAAAGACAUCCCCGAACUCUCUGGAGAGAGAACUCUUUGACAAACAUCCAAUCGUAUCGCGUGUUUUAGGAACCUGCUGCAGAGAUAAAUUUAACUUGGGAUCAGAAUUUUAAUACAGAUUUUAAAAGUGUUUAAAAAUGAUAAACAUUGAGAUUUUAAAUAUGCGAUAAAAAUAAAGUUAAAGGUGGGGUAAACAAGUUAUAGUUUUUAGGAGAAAUCUCAAACAGACGCUCCUGCUCGCUCGUAUCGUUCCAGUUAAAUUCAGAUAUAAUGCAGAUAAAUACUUCAGAUCAUUACAAAUGGGGCCCAGUCAAGGUGAAAGUCAAAAGCAUUGGUGCUACUGUAGAUGCCAACAGACUACCAGCAAACACAAUGUUUGCAGGACUUCUACAACUAGGAUAAAGUGACAUAGUCCAGGACCCGAGGGAGGACAGUUUAGCGAUGGCGCUACAACACGCUACAGCAGGUCCGUUUGACAAGAAACACUUCUGUUACAGACACUUGUCUUACUUUGUUAAAGCGGUUUACCUGUCCAGCAGAAAGGUUACAGGGUCACCAAGAUCCCCAAGCGUCCCCCAUCGUUUAUGUUGACCCGGCUUUUUAGCUCUUGUCCGGUCUACCUCCGUUUUAAGCGCCCGUUAUUCCUGAAGUUGGAGCUUUAAAUGACGUCACACCCAAGUUAUCAGCAUUUCAGUUACGAAGUCCGAAAAAAGCAAAAUCGGAGGUGGAAACAAGAUGGCUACAUCUCCGAAAGUUAUUUUAGUGCUUGCCUUGUCCGAUUAUUGGGCCACUUAGUUUGGUUAUUUUUAACUGAAAUGCUGGGAACUUGUGUGUGACGUCAUUCUCAGCUCCGACUUCUGACUUCCGAGGAAACUCAAACGCAGCACUUAGGAGCAGCGUCUGCCUCACAACCAAUCAGGUUAGAGGAGGUGGAGAACGGCUUUGUUUACAGUCAGAAAGAGCGGACCGCUCAAAAAUGUUCAAAUGUUGACGACACAGACAUAAGAGAACACAGAGAUAUAGAUAUAUUACCAAAUGUCAUCAAUAACUAAUAACUAUUGACUGAUAUUAAAAGAUUUUUGUAUAAAAACCACAAAAUAAAAAGAUGCUUCUUUAACAGAUUCCUGUCUACUCCACCUUUAAGUCGGUUUUCUUCUUGUGGUCCAGACUUCUUUCCUUAGACUAGAGAUCAGCUGGACUCUCUCAUAUGAACACUGAGUUCUUGUUGCUGAUGUGGAUCUGUGUGAGUCUGAGUGUGUUUGUUUUUUGCUGCCAUUCUUGGUCAGGACCCCCCCUGAAAAAGAGAUUGAUGAUCUCAACAGGACUAGUCUGGUUACAUCAAAUCAAAAAGACACACAACCUGCCUCCUGUCUUUGUCCUCUACAGAAAACCUGAUCCAGCUGCAGGACUCACAUCUGGGACAUGUAAGACCACAUGGAUCCAUGACCCAGACGGAGCGGUAACAUGACAUCCAGCAGAAACAGACACAAUAAAGACAAACAGACGAGGUGAUUUCAGUGACUCAGUUUGAGGAUUUUUAUGAUUUUUUUUACCCACAAUCAGAGACUUGACCACAAUCUGAGCUGAGUCAGAAACAUCCAAACAGCCGGACUAAUAAAUGUGAUUAUUAUUAUUAGAGUGAUUGAAAAGCUCAUAACAACAUGUAGAUCUGUCCAAAGUCUGAUUCUAGAUGUCUUUACAAACACACUGAUCCAACAGAAGCAGACAGAAAUAUCCAUCGAUCACAUGAACACAAAUAUUCAGCAAACAGAGAAAGAAACAGAUCAUCUGAAGAGUUUUUGGGGACGACUGGAAAGACUUUAGACGCUUGGAUUUGGGACAGGAAAUAAGGUCGUCCUUUUUCUGUGAUUUUGACCUCACUUUUUUCUAAAGUCUCAGACCUUCAACAUCUGCACCAACUGAAGGUGAUUUGAACAAACCAUCAUCUUGAUGUUGUUGAUAUCAAACUGUAUGAAGAUUUUUCAACAUGAGAAAUACAAACAAUCAAAGUUCUCCACAAUCACUGUCCUUAAAGCUGCGACCAAAUCAGCAUCUUUAGAAAAGAAUCAAAAAGCUGAAAUGAAGAACUAAACCCAGAGUUUUUGGUGAGACUGAUCCACAAACAUUUACAAACCAGAACAUUUCAAGAGUUCAAGGAUCUCAGUCCAUGAUUUUGGUCUGAUGGACUCAAAAUUCUCUUUAGUUCACUUCUAUAAACUCAGCAGAGUCUCCAAACCAGUCUAACCUCAGUCCAGCAUGUAGAGGUUCAGUGAAUGUGGUCUGGACUCUGUGGAGGAGAGUCAUGGUUUCAGAGACGCUGUAGAAGGACAGAAUACCUGCGCUGUGAUCCAGGUACACUCCUACUCUGGAGGACGGAGGACCUGAGACAGGAGUGAGGACUUUGUUGUGAUCAAAACUAUAACUGUCUUUAGAACAGAAUAACCUCCAAGAUUUGUCAUUUUUUCCAAAUAUACCAUCAUCUGAGUUCCCGUCUCUCCUGAUAGUCUUGUAUGUGACUGCUACCCAAACCCCGAACCCUCUCCAGUCCACCUCCCAGUAACAACGUCCAGUCAGACUCUCUCUACUCAGGACCUGAACAUAAUCAGUGAAUCUGUCUGGAUGUUUAGGAUAAGACUGUGGUUGUUGUUUUGUCCUUGUUGCUCUUCUGUUUCCAUCAGAUAAUAUCAGCUCUCUGCAUGCUGUGUUUGGAUCCAGUGUGAUUCUUUGUGAAUAUCUUAAGAAACCAGCUCUGGUCUUGGGUUCUGCUGGUCCUGGUGGUUCUAACAGUAAAACAUCCACAUCAGUCACGGCCUGUGAGACGUUUGUCCACGUCUCUGUCAGAAGAUCCUGGAGUUUCUCUCUGACCUCUGACACAGCUGCUGUCACCUCCUCAAAGUAUCUCAGAGGACGGAUGUUGAUCCUGGAUGAGUCUGCAGGUUGACCCGGUUCUGACAGUGAGGGGUAGCUGUGCAGAAACUGGUUGUGGUCCUCUGUGAGUGAGAGCUUCUGCAGAUCAGCGUCUCUCCUCUUCAGCUCAGUGAUCUCCUGCUCCAGUUUCUCCUGAAGCUCUUUGACUCGACUCACUUCACGUUCCUGCUGGGAUCUGACCUGCUGCUCCACCUCAGAGCGGCGUUUCUCCAUCAGACGGAUCAGCUGUCUGAAGAUCUCCUGGCUGUGCUCCACAGCUUUAUCAGCAGAGCCGUUGAUAGCCUCCACCUCCUGUUGGAACAGCUUCACAUCUUCUUCUCUGUCCUGGAUUCUCUGCUGGAUGUUUUCUCGACCCUCCUCCAGAUCUUUCUGCCUCUCAGUCCUUUCUGCUGCAGCUGAGACUGUGUCGUGGCCUUUGUGUUGGUCCACAGAGCAGAGAUGACAGAUAGACUGUUGAUCAGUGCGACAGAACAUCUUCAUCACCUCAUCAUGACGAGAGCAGAUGUUCUCCUGGAGCUUCUUGGAGGGCUCCACCAGCUUGUGUUUAGCAUAGGCAGGAGAUUCAUAAUGAGGCUGGAGGUGUUUUUCACAAAAUGAGAUCAAACAGACCAGACAGGACUUGACAGCUUUCAGUUUUCUCCCACUGCAGAAAUCACAGACCACAUCUUCAGGUCCAGCCUCAGAGGAACCACCAGGAGCAGCUUGGAGUCCACUCCUCUUCACUUCCUCCACUAAACCUGCUAACAUGGUGUUUUUCUUCAGGACAGGCCUCGGUCUGAAGGUCUCUCUGCACUGAGGACAGCUGUAGAUCUUCUUCUCAUCCUCAGUAUCCCAGUAGGAUUGAAUACAGCUCAUGCAGAAGCUGUGUCCACAGGUGACAGUCACCGGAUCCUUCAGAAGAUCCAAACAGAUGGAACAAGAGAAAGACUCACGGUCCAGAUGAACUCCUUUCUGCGCCAUUUCAACACUCGCUGUCGACGACGACUGACUGAGUUUUAUUUCCUGAGAAGUGAAACUAGUCUGAGCUCUGAUCUCAACAACAUGUGCGUCAGCAGGAUAUGACCUCAGCACACGACGGUUACACCCAACCAAGACUGUAGAACUGAGGGGGAGGGAGGAAGGAAGGGGAGGAAACAAGGAAGUGAGAGUGCAGAGUGGAGUGAGCUGAGAGAGACGAGGGAGGGGGGGGGAACCAGUUUACCUACAAUCCAGGAAGAGGAGCGUCUCUGUGAACUUUAGACUCUCAAACUCCAACAAGCAGAAGUUCUUAAAGCUGCAGCCGUCCUGAAGAUCAACUGAACCAACAUUUAUUCACCUCAUAGAAACCUCAUCGAGCAGAAACACACUUCAACUGUUUUAGAGACACAGAGUUAAAGACACAACACAGAGAAACACUCUCUCUCUCUCUCUGUCUCAAGCCCCGCCCACAAACAGACGCUCCUGCUCGCUCGUAUCGUUCCAAUUAAAUUCAGAUAUAAUGCAGAUAAAUACUUCAGAUCAUUACAAAUGGGGCCCAGUCAAGGUGAAAGUCAAAAGCAUUGGUGCUACUGUAGAUGCCAACAGACUACCAGCAAACACAAUGUUUGCAGGACUUCUACAACUAGGAUAAAGUGACAUAGUCCAGGACCCGAGGGAGGACAGUUUAGCGAUGGCGCUACAACACGCUACAGCAGGUCCGUUUGACAAGAAACACUUCUGUUACAGACACUUGUCUUACUUUGUUAAAGCGGUUUACCUGUCCAGCAGAAAGGUUACAGGGUCACCAAGAUCCCCAAGCGUCCCCCAUGGUUUAUGUUGACCCGGCUUUUAGCUCUUGUCCGGUCUACCUUCGUUUUAAGCGCCCGUUAUUCCUCCAGAGUCUCCGGUAUUUACUUUGUUUUCUUGCUUGUGUCGGCAGUCGUGGCCAAAGGAGGAUUCAGACAAUUUUCCGAACUUUCUGGUUGGUUUCUACUGUCCGAUAUUGUAGCACGCUAACUUUGUUUGGGUUCAUGAACGACACGAAUCCUGCCUACCCCUCCUUUAAUGCAAGGGGAUAAAACUCAAAUACAGUUUAUUUAGCAGCUGCAAGUUUGUUGAAGCAGUUUUUAAACUGUUCGUGCUGCUGUAGAAAUCUGUGUUGAUAUUAAAAAAGGGGGAAUAAACCUGUACCAGUAAAAAGGAGAUAUCAGAUGAGACAAAAACAUGACCCACUGUGUCUCUCUACAGAUUUAAAGAUGUGACCACCUCUCCGAGAGCAUACAGAGAAAGAAAGCCACUCUCAUGACUCCACUGGUCUGGUCCUGCACAGCUGUUCCUCAGUGCCACUUGUUGACGGUGCCAAGAAGAGGCAGAACCAGGAAGCUGCUAAUCUUUACAUCUGAUGGAAGAGGAUCUGUCAAAGGGAGACCUUUCAGAGAGAGGUUUGGAGAUCUCUGAGCUCGAUCUCAGGAAACACUAUCCCCUUCAAAGCGAAUGAGUCAACCCUACCUUGGGAACAGUUGGAUUCACUUGUCGGAUGUUGUGUGUGGGAUUGAUUUACGGCAUAAGAACGGAGCAUAAAACUAAAGCAUGCAGGCUGGGGAUGAAAGUUUGGGCCGUCACCACGCAGAGAAAAACAUCAUCCUAAAAACAGACACACAUGUCUCCUGUCAGAUAAACCAUCGAUGUGCACGCAGUUAACGGCUAAACUCUCACAAACAAAGAAGGAGAGGUUCUUUGUUUUCAACAUGAGACAAAUUUUAUACGUUAAAUAAGUCCAGGCUGCAGAUUUAUGAAUGCACUUCAGUGGUCUUGUUGUGUAUUGGCGCUCCAUCGCUGCUGAAAUGCGUGUAAUCUGUGCAGUCCUCGGCUUAAAUGCAUCAUUUUGCAGUGGUGCAUGUUAGCUGUAAUGGAUUCACUCUGCUGCUAAACAAGAUGGGAGCUCAACAAAAGAAUUUCACAGGCGGGUUUAUAAACACUACAGGCUGGUUAUACCUGAGACUUUCAAUGUUUAAGACAGAGAAACAAAAAUACUGAAUUAAUUGUGGGAGUGAAAUUAUAAAGGCUGGGACUUUAACGCGUUCAUUGCGAUUAAUUAAUCACAGUAAUAUUAUCUUGUUAAAAAUAUUAACGCAUAUUAAUCAGACCUACUGUGCUUUCAUUGGCUUUAGCAUGGAUGGGCAGACUGCUCUGUAUUACUAUCCUGCGGUCGUUACUAAACUUGGUUCAAUUAGAGAAGCAAGCGGUCGUCAACACUCAUCUCUCAACGGGGUGUCUAACUCGGUGUUAUGGUGUGUUUGACCCUAAAUUAAUUUUACGCUGGAAUAUCCCUUUAAGUAUCACCUUGAAAAAAAAUUAAACCAGGUUUUAUUUGCUUAAGCUUAUGUAUUCAUUCAAUUCACUUUUUAUUGAUUCACUUGUAUGCCAUUAUAAAAACAAAAAAAUGAUUCUCACUGUUCUCAGGUCAAAUAUUUAUUUGCGAUUAAACACGAUUAAUUGCGAUUAAUCAAUUACAAAUUCUCUGAUUAAUUAGAUUAAAUUUUGAAAUUGAGUUCCAGCCCUAGAAAUUAUAUUUUUAAAUCCCUCAAAAUAAGAGAAACAAUAACUGUGUCAAUUUAAAUGCAAAAUUUCUUAUACUGUCUUUGUAUGCUAGUACUGAGCCUAUAUGUGCCAGUAGAUGAUGAGUUUAGUUAAUUUCUUGGGUUAUGGACAAUAAUGUGGGACAUGCAUGUACAUAAAAACAGAUAAAGAUGUGGGUAAAGGGAGUAAAGAGAAAUCUACAUGAAUACAGUUAAAGCAUAUUGACUACUUUACAUAUUCAGACAUCAGGAGAAAUAAUGAAAGUGAAAAGAUGGAUCUGCAGAUGUGGAUCCUGAGGGUACAAACUCUUUUAUAAUUGAGCUCAAACAUUCGAACCCUGAACUUUUGACUUUAGAGCUUCAACCGAGUUUAAAUGAGCAUCCUCACAGACGGUGAAACACUGAAUUUAUAUCAAGAAUAAAAAAAACACAUCCAAACAAACCCUCUGAGGAUUCUCCUGCUGUAGGAGCGUACGGCAGGUAUUUCCCUUUAGUCAUUCACAACAUUAGAGUACGAGCCCGUGUGCAUUACCAUCACACCGUGGAUGAAAAUAGACCCUUAAAGGUAACACAGCCCACUCAGGAGUCACUGCAGCGGGAUGAUUUCACCCAAAGUGUGACGGAGCUCCUCUAACCUCCAUCUGUUUAUCCCCGUCAGCCGGAGAUCCUGUAACCGACGCAGGGUAACCAUGUCAGAGUGUCAGAUAUGAGCGCGCACCGACAUCAUCCACAACACCAAGUCUGUGUUUGCUAUAAUUGGCCUCCUGAUAGUAAACACUCUGCACCCUCAUGCCACAAUGCAUAAAUCAUGUUUUGUCAACACAAUGCUGGGAGAGGGGGUCAAGUGUUAUGCUAACUAAUAGGCAGAGGGAGAUUCAAACCAAAGGCAAAUAAAAGGAAAGUGUAAAUGUACGGAGGAAAGUGAGAGUAAUUGCAGGCUCGGGCCUAAAGUGCUGCGUGGGUUCAUUAAGGCAAACAGAUCCGAGCGCUCUGGUGUCUGUUUGCCUCUAAAUACUGUCAUCUUCUAAUGGGGAUUACCUCUUUUCUCUGUUUUUCUGCUGCAGCACGUCAGCUGUUUUUCUGGUUUUAUCUGCCUGCCUCAGCAGAAACCGAACCGAAACGGAGACUGACAGAGAGGGGGAAACUAUCUGCUCUCUCAGUAAUGGACUGCAUUUAUAUCACACUCAUAUAGGAGCUCUAACAGGCCUUCACACUGCCUCACCUUUCUCACUCUCACAGGGAACUAAGUGGAGUUUAGUAAUCCACACAAAGAAACUUUGACAUGAAGACAUUGGAGCUACGGUGCACAAGUAUUUUAUCUUUUUAAGGCCACGUUUGUAUGUACCCGGUUAUUUUUAAAAACACAACUCACCUACUCUCUUCCAGCAGCAGCUUGUUUGUAGAGAGACCUCAGGCCAGUCCAUUACGGACUACAGCGGGGUGCCGCAGCUCAAGGAAGAACAUUUAUGAUCAUUUCUUUAUCAUUUCCUUGAAGUAAUAAUCACCGUAUUGAUCAUUUUCACUGCAGACACGGUAGUUCUUCUGACUCAGCGUCUUGGACUGAUUGUAUUUCCAUGAAGAAAUGAUCGUAAAUGUUCUUCCUUGAGCUGCGGCACCCCACUGGCCUGAGGUCUCUUUACUCAGAUCACUGUCUAUCGCUAUCCUGCAGUCGUUACUAAAGUUGGUAUAACUUGAGAAGCAAGCGGUCGGCAAUAAUUAACUCUCGAGAAGGUGUCUAACUCGGCGUUACGGUGUGUUUGACUCUAAAUUAAUUAAUAAUAAUCCCUUUAACCAUUGUUUGCACCCUUCGUUUGGACGCGAACUGAGGAAACGAUGCUUUUUAAAAACUCCAGCUGGAGUGGAGAAUCUGGAAAACUCUGUAUGUAAACAGAGAAAAUGGAGAUUUGGGUAGCCGAUGGCUGACUGUGCGCCGCAAACUGGGUUAAAUGUGACGUUGUUUAUAAUCUACAGUCUAUGUUUACGAUCUAUGGUGAUCAUGGUUGCAUGCGGAACAGUAGUCACAUUUAUGCUGGUGGCAUCCCUUUAUAUUUGUUUGCAUUUGCAUCUUUUCCAAUCAAAGGAAGUGACGUUGUUGUUGUUGUUGCUGCUAUGCGGGAUUCUGAUUGGCUAACGUGGGCUUGAGCGUCCCACGACAACGCCACCAACAGGUUUGGCAUGGUUUUGACGGCAUAUAUACACGGGUUAGUGUAAAUGAAAACUUUUCUGAAAAUGGAGUGGUGCGCACGCAGUUUUUUUCGUGAACGUAGAGGGUGAAAUGUCCGUUUAUAAAAAUGUCAUCGUAGUCUAAAUUUUAAAUUUGUCCCUGUCAACAUGAGUUGCACGAAAUGCGUCUAUAAUGAGAAUCUUUAAAGGCGUGAUAAAAUCCACACAGAGUUAGAUUCCUGCAGCAGCUGAUCAUGUUUGUUUCUCCUCUUUCCUGCUGAUCCUACAUUAAUUAAAAUGAGACGAGCAGAAACAAACACGAGGUCAAAGGUAUUUCUCUAAUGAGCUGCUCUGCUGUAGAUUUGGUGAAGGUCUGCAUCAGUGUGUUUUAUUUGUAUACUUGAACGGUAACGUCGUCCCUGUCUUUGACAACUUCUAGCUUCUCAGCCGCUCAUUAAAAUGACAAAUGUGCGACACAAACGGAUGACCGUGGCGGCUUUAUUCUUCGUGUGUGUGGAGCGUCUCCGUCUGUCGGUGGAAAGAAUCGGUUUGUCUCCGGUGCUCGUGUCUCUGCACCGCGGCUAAAGUAAUUGAAGAGGAUAAAGUGUCAGAGAGUGCACAGGAACACAAUCCAGGGGUGGAAAUAGUGUCCCCUGUUGCAGCUCAUGUACACACACACACACACACACACACACGCCUCGGACAAACACAAAGAAACUAUGAACGCGUCGUGAGCGAGUGCCGUGGGAGGUUUUAUGAGAAACAAACUUACUUUUGAGCAUUUUCUCUAUGAGCCGGUGGAUGCCGGUGAUUGCUCCAUUUGUCUUAUUUACUGUACAUCAGCCUUAUUCACUCUGCCCACCAAACAGUCCUAAACUGAGCCAAUGUGCCCAUAAUUCACAGCCGGAGCUGCAUUCACAGGCUGAGUCUACUCUCUACCAUACUGCAGGUCUGUCUUUGCAAAGUAGAGACGAAAGGAGCAAAGAAGAUGAAGCAGGAAAAGACACUCGGAGGUACACUAACAUGGCGUUAAAACUUAAUAUAUUCAGCUGUUCCAUUUGUGUGUCUUUGCAUGCAAAACCAGUUUUUGUGUAGCCCACUAAAGAACCCCAAAAUAGACCAGGAUACUGUCUGCAGGUAUUUGUUUCUCUGUCGGCCCUUUUCGCAGAUGUAAAGAAGUCCCAGCAGCGCCUCCUCACCGCGACGUUUACUCGUUUUCUCCUCGGUGAUUCUGCCAAAGUCCACACUGUGUUGUGGUUUGUGGUUUCUUCAUGUCUUAUGUCUUUAAUUUGGUAAACGUCUCCUUCACUCAGCUUCUGUUUCCUUCUCCACCUCUGGUCUUUCUCUCUCUGCUGAUUGGUCAGGAUUGAUUUCAUAACGCACGGGUGGUCGUCGUGUUGUUCCCAACAUCAAACAGACAAUAACAGGUAAGAACACCUGCAGAGAUAACUCUGUGUGUUUUCAAAGCUUUGGGGAGAUUCUGAUUUUCUCUACAGCUCUGUUUCUUAAAGUUAUUAGGGGGUUCAUGUUUCUAUGAUUGACACCUGAUGCAGCCUAUUGGCGCUCAGGGAUUGCAUAGCUCACCCGGGGGAUACACUGUUUGAGCUGAGCGUCAUCACAGCGACUCUCGGCGACUCUCCCGCCGAAUGCGAACAACGCUUCUGCGCAAAUGGUGGUUUCAGGAAAUGAAGAGAAAUCGCGGAAAUACCGAGAACUUUUUGGCUUCAAAUCCGUAUACAGGCGGGAGGCGGAGCCAAGUUGUCCGUAGUUUAUACAGUCUAUGGUCUCAAUAUUUAAAAAUAACCUGGUAGAUAGAAACGGGGCCUCAGUCACAAGAAUCAGCAAACAGCUGCAUGCAAACAACACAGAAAUGAUUACAUGGAGCUUCACUAAGAGUAAGACAAAAUUACUUAUAAUUACAAUCUUUCAAGUUCAAUCUUCAGAAACUUGAACAUGAACAUGGAAAGUAAAGUGACACACAGUGAUGGUAGAAGAAGAACACAUGGAGAUAAUGUGAGGACGCUCUGCUGCAGUAAUAUUGGUUUCAUUUCUGGUUUGUUUUUUAAUGAUAAAAGUGUUAUAGAAAGAUUACUCCUGAGAUGAGUUAGUGUGGAUUAUACUCGACUGUUUUUCCUGCAAACCCGCUUCGAAGAGAAACCGUAACACCUGCUGAAAAAGCUGCAAAUCCGACUCCUGAGAACAGAGUUUAUGUAGAAUAUGUAAAGAAGGAUUAAACUGAGAAACGCUGCGCCUGUAACAAACAAACUCCUCUUUUAGAAGACUGAACGUGUCCGUUUAUUUUAUAACAACUGAGUUUGUUCAGCCGCUAUCAGAGAGGUUUGACCAUCCAACUAUCUCCAGCUCUGCUGCUGCGUUGGCUAACAAAGAGAAAGAAGAAGAAGAAGAAGAAAAAGAAGAAGAAGAAGGAAAAGAAGAAGGCCCAGAAAGAGCAGAGGCUGAACAAAGGAGACAAAGGAAGAGAGACAGCAGCAGCGGGACAACAGGAGGAGGUGCAGCAGAAGAAAGUGUUUCUCACUCCGGCUCAUUUUCCUCUCUCAUCUCUUCUCCUCACUUUCUCUUUCCUGGGCUGUCUCUCAGGCUCCCUCUGCUUUUACUCUCUCUCUCUCUCUCUGUCCCUCUCUCUCUCUCUCUCUCUCUCUCUCUCUCUCUCUUUUCUCUCACUUCAAAGUGAGGCUGGGAUUAUAGGCUGGAACAGACUGCCUUACAGCUCAUUCAUAAUGAAUGGAGGCCCACUUUAAUGACUCUGUCCACUCACAGCCCCGCUCCUCCUCCUCCUCCUCCUCCUCCUCCUCCUCCUCCUAAUGAUGUCACCUUUGGUUCCCAGGUGACGCUGAUAACUCCUCUUUUGUUUGCUUUAAUUUUACAGAUGAUCGACACCGUCACCCAGCUGAUGGAUAUUUAGGACGUGGCGCUAUUGGCUGACUGCACUGCAAAAAAAAGGAGGGUCUAAAAACAUGUGAAAAACACUAAAUCUGAGGGAAAAGGUACGAAAAACAAGAUUAUCUGUCCAUGCAGUGAGAUAAUUUCACUUGACAAGAUUUCUUAAAUUAAGAUUAUUAAAUCUAGAAAUACAUAUGUCUGCAAAUGUAUUUGGAAGGCUUAAGGUAAGACAAAAAUGCUGGUUUUAAGAUCAGAUUAUUCAAAAUUUAGCUUUUACAGACCUAAAAUAAGUGAAAUGUACAAAAUAUGAGCAUGAAAUGAGUAUAAGAUGCUGGUUUUAGGAUCAGACUACUUGAAUUUUAACUUUUACAGCCUCAAAAUAAGAUAAAUAUACUUAGUAUUAGCAUAAAAUGAGUAUUAAAUGCUGGUUUUAAGAUCAGAUUACUUAAAAUUUGACUUUUACAGCCCUAAAAUAAGUAAAAUGCACUAAAUAUAAGCAAUAACAUAUUUUGUUUUCUUACUUUAAGCAAAUUAAGAUGAAGAUUAGUUCAAAACAAAAUAGAAAUUAAGAGAAAAAAAUACCCAGAAUUAGUGAAGAAUGACUUGAUCUUAAAACAGGAUUCCUUUUGAUGAGACUAUAUUUUAUUUUAAUAGUUAUUUUCCUCAUUUGAAGAUUUCCUGCCUAUUUGAUUGAGACAAAAAAGAUAAGAUUGUACUUGAUAUUAGAUUAUAGUGUAGAGUUAAACACUUCAAAUAAGAAAUUAAGUCUUAAAACAAGAGAAAUUAUCAAACACUUCUAAAUCUGAGUUUUUUCUCAUCUUGGUAAGAACCAAAUAAUUUACAGUGUGCCUCUCCAGUUCGUAAACAGCGUCGCCAUCAAACGGAGAAAGGAGAAGCUGAGGGGCGCCUGGAGCUGAGAGGAAGAGUGGAACAGAGAAAUAGAAAUGGAGAGAGGAUCUGUCAGUCUGCUCUGAGAGCCUCGGAUUGACAGAUGAGGGUGUAAAAAAAGAGAAUAAAGCAGAAAGAGGUGGAGAGAGCAGAUCUAUCACUUUAAUGACCGAGUGCAGCCUUCUCUGUUCUUUAGAGGACGAUCGGCACGGUGACCCGCUCGCUGUUAGCGUUAGCUCUCAGUGACAGAUGAGCCAUCUGGAUGAAUAGCGCUGACAGCAGUCUUAAGACUAAUUUUACCCCAGCAGACAACAGUACAGUACGGAGCCGGCUCUGCUCGUCAAUCUGAAGGGUUCUUAUGACGAAGGAGAAAUGGGCCUGGUGCUGGAUCUCCACACGGAGCAUGAAAAAUUCAACAGGGAGCUGCUGCUGCUGCUGAUCACUCCCAGGAUGCACUGGUUUAAUGUUUUGAGGCUUUUUGGACGGACUGACUCUUUCUUUGGCGUCUCAGAGUCACGGUCGAAUAAACGAGGUUCACUCAAAUGUUUUCAUCUUCACUCUUUAGUCCUGAUAAAUAAAAGCUGGAUGACGUUGUUUCUCUGUUUUCUGUUUGUGGUUUCACAGUCCUCUUAGCAUCUUAGCUGUUGGAUCAAUACUGAAAUAUAUCAAUAUCAAUAAUAGAUUACAUUUACUAGGUAAGAUUUUCAGAGGUGGGUUCCAGUGUAAUCUGAUCAAUAAUCUGAUUUUCUCAUCUUUACGACACGGUCUGUAAAAUCAAGAGUGGUAAAGAAUUCCUCAAAUUAAAGGUCUGAGAGAACCGGGCCGCAGACCUGUCAGGAAAAACCAGAGGAGGUGGGACCUGCUUCAUUUAGAGACCCUUUUAGAGACCCUGGACUGUGAUAGUUCUCCUGGUCUGUUCUGGAGAACUACCUCAGGACCAGAUCAGGUUCUACCACAGGUUUUCACACCCUUCAGGGACCUGUGCGUGGAUCCUGUUUGCUCAAGACUGUGGAGAUGACAGUGGACUUGGCCCCCUCACAGUCCUCAACAGCCUGGACUCAUUCCAGUUCCUAGGAACAACCAUCUCCAAGGACUGGAGUUGGACCCCCAAAUACACUAACCCUAACAAACAAGUGAAAGGUUUUUAGACGUCAUUUCACCCCGAUGACACCAUGGAUGAGGAGAUGCUGAUUCUAGAAGUCUAGAAGUAGAUUUCCUCCUCUGGAAGGACACAAUCUACUGCUUAUAUGUCUAUGUGUCUGUCUUUAGAGAGACAACUCCUUAUUGUGCACGUGAAUCCGCGGGUUCUUGUGAUUUCUCAUGAUUCCCGCUGUCCGUAAUCUGCCACCAAAUCUGCCUCACAAAUGGAUGCGGUAGGAAUUGGCAGACGGUGAAAAUUGACCAUUCCAGAUCCGAUGGAAAUCCCGGUUAAGACUUACCUAACUAACCCACUGACCAACUAACUAACAAAUAAACCCCCCACCCUGGCGCUCAAUCAUCUGAAAUUGGAGCACUAUCCUGCAGGUGAAGGUCUGGGACCAGAACCCCUGAUGGUUUUACCCAGGCCAACAAAAGGGCACCUGUAGGAGAUGUACCAGAGAAACCAGGAGCUCCUUUCUGCAGACUGCUGCGACACACCGAGGUCUACAGAACCUCUAACUCCCUCAGGAGGGGUCUCAGAGGUCUCCAGCAUUUCAGACUCAAACCCCACGACCGUUUAAAGAGCAAAUAUGAGCCAUAAAAACAGUCGGUACUAAACCCUUCUUGGUCGAAACUAAAUUAACAGCCCUCGUUAAUUGUCCGUGUCGUCACUCAGGUAAAUUAGCGAACUCCGUGUUUUUGCAUUCCUGAUCCAUCUCCAUCCGCCUGCAUCUUCCUCUCUGAACAGGAACCUUUAAUGACUUCAUUUGGGUCCUGCGGCGGCCCAGGUGCUGCUAAAUGAGAUUACACAGCUGGUUAUUUCUGAGGUCUCAGUGAAGAGGGUCAGCCUGUAGAGGAGGUCACAUCAGAGGAACGCUAAUUGACUGAUUGGACUCCUCAAGAGGGUCUCCAUCAUCAUCAAAGUCACAAAAGCACAUAUUGAAAUAAGUUUCUUUGGUACCUCAGAGAGUUUCUUACAGCGUCUUUGUUGUUAUGUGACGGCACACAUCUCCUCUGGGACCACGAUGAAGUAACUACAAAAUACUCCAGCGGCGUCCACAGACUAGACAUGCAGCAUUGAAGCUUUUUAAAUAUCCACCAAGAGUCUGAAAAAGCCGAGCCGUGAUGGAGCUUUGAAACAGAAAAGUUAAACUUUGACCCACAUCACAUUUCCCACAGAAAAGCGCCUUCAGAUAUCAAUCUCCCGGCAAAACAAAUCAGCGGGCGAACGAGCGACGACACACAGCUGCACCACCAAACCAAACAAUCAGUCUGCAUCCUGGUCCGAGGCCGCGGCGACUCCCUGAUUGAUUUUCAGCAACAUGUGAGAUGGUCUCAUACGACCUUUCCUCUCCACUUCCCUGCUGAUGAUAGACGCAGACGUCAGGUAAGCCCCUCUGACCCCUCAGAGCCCAUAUCCUUCAGAACACACAGCCUGAUUACCCCGAGGACACAAACACACUCACACAGACACACACAUAUUACACUCUUGAGGGAUGGCAGGUAGAGGGGGAUCACUCUGUCUUGGUAGAGGUGGGCUCUUCCCCCAAAUCCCAGCAGGGUCGUUUAGUGAAGCUGAUUUCAGAGACAGAAGUGUUGGUGUGUUUGUGGAGUCACAUGUCCACUAAUGACUUUGAGACAAUGUCUUCUUAUCUCUGGGGAAGGAGACGGAGGAUGGACGAUGGCGUGUGUGACCCUCAUACACCAUCUGAGGUGAACCACAGACACAGACAGACGAUUAUGACCCCUCCCCCCCAUUAGUCAACCUUCCAAAGGUUUUAACUUACUCUGAUUUUUACGACUUCUACCUCGUUAUGUGGAAGAAUCAGCAACAUCAUUUUGGGGAAGUAUUUUCCUCAGCGCUGUAGUUCCUCAUGUGGCCACUAGAGGCUUGCUCCAAAAUAGAGACCAUUUCCAUAGAGUCUCAUGUUAAAUAUUUGACUUAGCAAAAAAAAUAAACGUGUCUACAGCAUUUUAUCCCUCAUUUUUAUGGAGGUGUCUUAAUUUAAGGAAUAAAGGUCUUUACACACCGGGAGCGAAAAUUCACAAAGCAAAAUAUCGACUGUUUUUUAUUCGCUCUUGUGUCAAAUUUUGCGAAGGCGAAAAAGGCGAACGGCCAGAUCUCUGACCAAUCAAAAUGAUGUUGAUAUGUCGAUGACAGCACAUCCAAACUUUAGUGGCAGCAUCAGCUCUAGUCUGCAAUUCUUCAUCAUGACUGAGUGCUUUAUCGUGAGUGUGCAGGAGCGCCCUGCUUUAUGAGACAAGUCGGAGAAAAUAUAUGUAGGAAAUUGAAGAUAUAUUGAUGUUAUAUCAAUCCUCAAACAUAGAUGUGUAACGUAGCUAGCAUAAUAUGAAGCUAAGCUAGCUAACUAAGCUAGCUAACAGCUCGGUGCAACUUUCUCAAAGUCCAGUAAACGAUUGUAGAUGCUUUUAUAGAAAUAUUUUAUAGAAGAGCCAAACUUUAUUUGCUUAGCCGAGUUUAAUUUGCAUAAAUCGUGUCAUGCCCAGUGUGCACAGAAAAAAUUCCAGGUGAAACAUUAACCUUUUUGCGUCAAUCAUUCUUGUUACUUGGCCUAUUCCUCGGUGUGAAGCAGAUGCGGGUCCACGGUAACAAAAUGAUGGUCAAAUCUGAGUUAUCUGGUUUAUUUUGUUCACUCUGUGCUCUAUUUGAGGUCCUAGAAGACGCCGUCAAGCCUUCUACUUCCCUCAAGCUCUACAAACAUCUUCAUUUUUAAUAGAAUAAUCAGCUUCUGUCAGAUAUUCACAUUAAUGACUGAGCUUGGGGCAUUUAUGGGACAGUUUUCUGAUUUGUUUCCCAAUAAAAUGUCUGAGUUAUUCCCUAAAAUCCCCUUUGACUAUAAAACUGUGACACCUGAGAGUUUCCAGUUGGUCCUGUGACUCCAAACACAAACACGCCGAGCGCUGAAGGCGUGUACUAUAAAAGAAAAUAUCAGUUCAUAUGUUUUUUAAUCUUUGAGGAUCGUUUCUUGGAUGAUAAAGAAGUUAUGAUUUUGUGAAACAUGAGUACAAAACCAUGAGUAAAUAACUGCGGUGCGUCGACUCCCGCCUGUGUGGGCGUGAAGGCGGCGGAUAUUUAACCCUCAGGUGGCGAAUGUUGGCAUCGUGUCAGGAGGAAGUAAAGAGAAGAAGAAGAAGAAGAAGAAAAGGCUGCCUGUUGAAUUAUUAAAAGCACGGGGACAUUUCAAGAACAAAAGAGUCCCCUAGACAAAUGCCACCGAGACCCGAGUCCCCCGAGAGGAUGUUUAUCAGUCAGCCUUCCCACAAUGCACCUGGGUGCACACAAGAAAAUACAGAUACAUAAAAAAGUACCAGACACUGGGAUCCACACACACUUCCUGUUCGAGAUGAAUCAUCAGUGAUGGAUGGUGACGGCGGCGCCUUUGUGUAAAGAUACUGAAUAAAGGCGCCGGAACUUUCCACACAGGAACUGAAGGGACCUCUGGGGAACUAUGUGCAUUUUGAUAUCAGGAACCAGGGUCUACAAUUAGUUCUAACUGAUCUACACCUCAAAAAGACCCUGUCUCAUUAGGGGGAAGGCCUUUCCAAAGAUCCAGGAACUUUGACAAUCUCAUUGAACAUCAAUUCUGACACCGUUCGGCACGUUUACUCUCGUUAAAAGAUGCUUUGGGGUUGGAUUUGUCAGGAAACGAUCUUGUUUGCGUCACAAACCGGUACUCGAUUUAAACACCCGCUGAGCAGAAAGAGAGGUAAACAGAGGCACCAAAGGCUCAUCCAACAAGAGCAAACAUCCUGAUGUUAGUGCAAAAGCUCAGCAGAGACUCCAGGAAAGAAAUGUUGAAGUUACUUCAUCCACCGAUCAGCUGACCUUGACGCCAUCGGCCUGAUUUGCAUGAUGUUUGCAGGACUUUAGUGGAAACGCAAACAGACGGCUGCAGGAACUAUUGAACUCCACAAAGAGAAGUUCCUGGAGCUAAAAAUUCCUGGUAUUUUUGGUCUAAAUACGCCGAAUGAUUGUCGAUCUAAAAUAUGCAAAGAGUGAAGUCUUCUCUUUCUGAGCGAAGAUGACAGGAGAUCAGUUUUUGUGCAUGAAGCCCACAUUCCUCCGUCUUUUUAGUGUAAAAGGAGGAUUUUAUUUCCUCUUUCCUGCGGUGCAGAAAUUGUUAAACUCUGUUUGCAGGGUCAGUUUUGGUUUCAUCCCUUUCAGAGAUGAGCCCUUGAGAAAAAGAAAGACAUUUUUGCCGUCCAGAAAUGUGAUGGCUGGGGUUGCUGAGCGCCGGGGUGCUGUGCGCAGUGGGCGGCGAGGACGGAGGGUAAACACAGAGAGUGGCCUCUCAUUUACCCCUCUUCUUCUUCUUCUUCUUCUUCUUCUUUCAUCCCUCCUCCAAAUCCCCCCAGCCCUCUCCAUGUCUUGUUUUGGCUAAUCUUCACAGGCCGUGGUGGUGGUGGUGGUGGCAGAGACUGUUUGAGGGGGAAGGUUCAGUGAAGAGACCCCAGAAGGACCCUGUGGCCAGAGUGCACCCCCCGUAGCCCUCAGUUCUUUGCCCUCCUUGAAGGAUGGAUCCGCCGCUUGCUUCCUGGCUGCUCCCAAAAUACAUCCCCCUGUGAGCUUCCUGUGCAUAAUUGUCCCCAGCUGGAACAUUGGGGAUAAAUAGGGCCGUGGAGACAACAGAUUUGUAAUUUGGGGUGAGAGUGAAAAGGAGGAAAAUUGGUAGCAGGCCACAGAAAUUAGCAUUCUUUUGGCUUUAGAGGGCAUUAAACAUUAAAUAGCUGCAAAGUCCCCUAAGUAUUGGGGGUCUUGGGCGGGGGAAGGUGGAGGAGGGGGGUUAGAGAUCAGAGCUUCAGAGGGUUUUUGUUUGGGCCGCAGAUGGCUGGGUUCACUACACUAAGUACCUCCCGCAGCGUGGAGCCCAGGAGACGGUGCAACUCUAUUAUUAAUGAUUGUUUGGAAGGUUUUUCUGCGCUUCACCGGCUUUCACUUAUCAGCUUUCAUGUCUCUGUUACACUGAAACAUGCUACGAGCUGUUUACCGCACAAUGGUGAACACAAAAAACAUGGAGACCGAUAUAAACAAACAAGGAGCGCGUGGAAACGAGGGAUCAGCUGGUGGUUUUGGUGCUGAAAGUGACGAAUUAUGAACCAGAGGGUGAAACUUGGUCGGAUUUUGAUUCGGGUCGACAGAUUCCUGCGGUUCAAAACUGGACUGCUGUUUUUGUCCCAGUUUAAGAGAACCAAAGCAUGUUGACAGCUGCUAUAAUAGAUGGUGAAAUGUCCCUUUUCAGCUCAUUACUACUGCUGGUCUCCUGGUGCGCCAGAUACCAAACAGUCAACAAGCGCUCUGGCAUAUAUUUCUGCACGUCACGUCUACAAAAUGACAUCUUUGUCAUAUUUAAAGAGCUUUUUUCUUCUGUCAAGGUUUUAUUUACGAACAUGAUUCAACUUCAGGGUCAAAGUCCAGCGUCCAGGAUUUCCAGAAAAAAAGUCAGAUUUUGAUCUAGCUCCGGCUCAGAGAGGUUAUCAGUACAGCUGAGCAAUUUUAUCGAUUCUGGGACAUAAAUCAAUAUUUUUUUCCCGCCAGAAAGUAUAAAUUUUUCAGCCACAAGAAAAAUUAAGUCUCGUAAAAAUCCCCUUAUUCUGCCCUCCCCCACAUCCUGUUUGCUUUGCAGUAAUCUGGGAUUUCCACCGCAUCCAGAACGGACGUACGCCAAUUCCUACCUGAUCCAUUUGUGAGGCGAAUAUUGUGGUGGAUUACGGACAGCAGGAAUCACGAGAACUCACAAGAACCUGCAGAGUCACAUGCAAUUACGUGAUAACAAGUUGUCUUUAUCCACAUAGACAUAUAAGCAGUAGAUUGUGUCCUUCCAGAGGAGGAAAUCUACUUCUAGACUUCUAGAAUCAGCAUCUCCUCAUCCAUGGUGUCAUCGGGGUGAAAUGACUUCUAAAAACCGGAUGUUUUAUUUUGUGUCUGUGCCCGACUUCCUUUCCAGCACGGGUUAAUCUGUGCUGAAUUUAUCCGCCAUGCUCCGGCGUCCAGAAAAACUAAAACUCUUGCGAUCAGCUGAGGAACAGAAAGAAGCCGGUGGAAAUUGACACGUUAACUUGAAUGGUUACGAUCGGAGGAUACAGCCCUUUCGUAGCCGUUCUUGAUGCGGUGGAAAUUGGGGGUAAGAGCGAUUAGUUCAGAGAGAGGAGACUCAAGAAAAUGGUGGGGAAUUUAACUCCAGCAACGUCAUGCUUGAAACCAGGUGUGUGAGAACACAAAGGUUUUCAAAGAAAGAAGGAAAGCUUUGAUUUAGAUUUAAAAUUAGUGGUUUGCAAGCGGUAUCACACAAACGUGAAAUCUUCUGGAAAUACAACCUAAAACGUCACCACCUGGACACGGUAACGCAUGUUGGUUGAAUAUCGUGUAUUGUAUCGUGAAAUUUGAGUAUCGUUACAGCUCUAGUUUCCAGCAUCUCUAGUCUAAUUUAGGCGGCUGAGGCUCAAACGAAAAGUCAUGUUUCGAUCAAAAGUCUGUCCGCAUGCCAAAGUAACUUCCUCUUUGCACCUUUAACCUGUAUUUAUAGAUAAAGCUGCAGACUGAGGUUUCCAAGUCUUACAGGUGUCUAUCAAAGUCCUUCCUCUUUCUCAGACAUGUCACUAAAGUUUCUUCUCUUCAAACAUCAACCAAAGAAUUGCACAAAUGUAAAAGCUGCAGUAAAGAGUUCAUAAAUUAACGUUUGGAUGAUGGAUCGACUCUGAAAAUGAAGAAACUCACUAAAAGCUGUAAAAUGUUUAUGCGACAUCCAGGAUGGAAAAUUAGAACCGUCCAAACCUGCCAAGUCCUCCUGAAAGAAGAAUGAGACUGUCCCCGUCACGUUUGUGCGACAAAUGGAUCCCCAGAUUGAAAUUUCCCUCUGACAGAUUCUAAUAAAUUACAACUUCCUCUCGGGAAAAUUGAAAUAACAUUUUUUACAGUCGGAUCGCUCGGGUUGGUUUGUGGGUUUGUUUGUUUGUUCUCUGCAGGUCUCUUGUGGUGAAAGUGAAAUAUUAAACCUGGCUCCUGCUUCUGCAACCUGCUCAGCGUGGUCCCACCUUUCAUCUGGCGUUCGUCACCAUCGUGCGAAGUUGCAAAUGAAAACAGGACGUGAUAGACUGCCUGUCAUUUCUGCAUCGGCGUGAUGUGCUUUAAUUAAUUAUGCCGCGCGCGGAAAAGUCGGAGGAAAGAACUUUGAGAAGCAAACUUUUUCUCGCAGUCUUGCUGACUCGCAGCGUUGCGUCUCUCCUUUGAAGUGGCGGAUGAUUUGAAAGCUAGUGACCCCGACUUUUCCUCCCUCUUUCUUCCUGUUUCCCUCCCCCGCCCCUGCCUGAGUGCAGCCGUCUCAUCAAGGAGGCUAAAACCAAAUUAGCAGCCUCUUAGUCAAUCACAUGUGGAUCUCCUGCUCAUUAUGCUUCUCCCAGCGUUCACCUUCAGCAGACUCCUCGCACAGAUCAUAUGCACCUUGCUUUCGUUUCACGCUGUCAGCAAACGAGCGCUGAGUGCAUCCUAACUUGAUUUGUGUCUUUGUAUUCACACUUCCCAUCGCAAAGUGCUCCGACCUGAAAGGCCCUGAUCUCUCCCAAGUGUUUCAAAUGCAAUAAGCUCUUUGUUUAGAGAAAAGGAAAUAAAAAGCCUCUGUGGGAAGACUCGUUUCUAUAAAAACGUCUCAAGGAAGCUCCUCAAGUGUUGCCAAGUGACCUGCUGUAAAGACAGCCUGUCACGGCGAGUUUAAAUCAGGCUGCUUAUGAAGACAGACAAGUGGAAAUGAGAGAGGUUGAUGCUCUGAGAGAUGUCGUCAAAGUUUAUCAUUUCACAGUGCGAUCAUUUACUUCUUUUGGGGGUCUACAGAAAACAGACCUGAGGUUGAAGUUCAGGUUGUGAAACAGAAACAGCAUCAUCUCAAAAUCCACAAGGACUUCAGUCACGUCCUUGGAGUUAAAAGAUCCAAAAUAACCACAGACUUGAAAAUAAUGUACUUUAUAAAGUAGGGCAGGGCGAUAUGUCCUCAAAUCAAUAUCCCAAUAUAUUGAUCAGUUCACCCCAUAACGAUAAAUGGACGAUAACUCCUCCACCAGCUGCUCACCCCCUCCCACAUUAACUUCGUCUACUUCAGCCGCUCCAACUUUCUCUCCGUCCUCCAUCUCCUCACCUGUCUUUCCCUCUUUGUUACAGACUGGAUGGGGUGGAGUCACGUCUCUGACGUAGGACAGCGUCUUAAAGGGACAUGAGACCAUAGCCUACCUACACACAUCCAAAACCAAAUUUGAGUUAUUUAUUUUUUUGACACCGAAUAUACUGAUAUGGGCAAAAUGACGUUGGUAAAUUACGCUGUAAAUUACGGUAUCGGUAAAUUUUCAGUUUUUGUUCGUUCGUUUCAUUCGUUUGUUCGUUCGUUUAUUGUCCACAAGUGGAAAUUUGUCUUUAGUCUCAUCGUGUACAAAAAACAGAUCAACAGCAGCAACAGACACAUAACAAAUACACACAAAACAGAGGGAGGACAACAGUGGCAUGUACUGAACAUAACAGGCAGAUCUAACCAGACAUAGGCCUGCUUUCAUUCAGUGCACUGAUGGCGUUAGUAAUGAAUGAGUUUUUGAAGAGGUUAGUAUUUGCCUUAGGAACUUGAAAACAUCUGCCUGAACGAAGUCUAACGAACUCACUGUACAGUGGCUGAGAAGGAUCAUUUAACUAUCUUAACAGCUUUUUUUACCUAAUCACUUCCUUGUAGAUACAGCCGAAGUGUUUCUGUGGCUUCCUUAUGAUGAUGUUUAUCGCCCAGCCCUAGUAUAAAGGAUAUAUAGGGAGUCUAAAGAGUGUCACAUCAUUUUGCAAAAUUCAUAUUUAAGACACAUAAAACCCCUUGUGCUUAAAGUCACAUCCUUGUAUUGUCUAGUCUAGGAUCUCAUCUACAACUCAUGUGCAGCAGAUACACCUGCAGAAACAAAAACACUAAACUCCUGUUGAGAAAGUUGGUUUGCAUGAUAAAGGAUUUUUGUUGAUAUCUGAUGUUUCAUUUUGGCGGAUACUAAUGCUUAAUUUCUACUGUUAAGAACAACACGUCUCUCCUGCACCAUAAAUGACCUCUUAUUAACACCGUUUGUUUCAGAAACAGACAGAAAACAAGACAUAGGCAGAUAUAUUGAGAAGUAAAGUCUCUCAAAGAUAGUGUCAAACACUACAAAUAGUUUGUAGAAGCUCUACCUCUUAAUAGCGUGGCGUAAAUUAAUACCUCAUCUUAGGUAGGAGAUUGUACCAAAUUAUUUUGUGCAUCCUCAGAAAUAAGUUUCAUUCAUGCACAGUGUUGCACGGUUGGCUUGUGCUGCACCUGUGCAGAUAAAAUAUGAAUUUGUGGAGGUCAGUGUGACCUAUCACAGCACAGCAAGUGAGGUCUCAUAAGUGCACCAAACUGUAGAUUAAAUCCUCAUAACCCAACAUUUAGUCUUUUAUUUGGUGGUUAAAAAGUCGUUUCUAAAGGAGUAGAAAACGGAUUGUUUCUCACCGUUGUGAGAGAGAUCUUAGUCUUUCAUUAGAAUAAGCAUCGUCUCGUUGAGUGUUCCUGCCACACUCAGAUUGUCCUUGGAGAUGAGCUCAAUUGCCUCAGAAUUGCUUUUUCAGAACUCUCGGAGUUUGAUGCCAAACAGGAGGUACGAAAAAAAAAAAAAACAGCCUCCUCACUUUCUCCUGUUGGCUCAGUUCACCUCAGUCCUCCAAAGUUUGCCCACAGUGAACAAAGACAGGGUGAAAUAUGGGACUAGCACCUUAAAUCCAGGAAGUAUCAGCUGAAGCUUUUCCACAUAUUCCUCCUGCCAGUUAUGUCAGCGGCAGACAAUUUUCAGCAACACUCUGGCAGCCUUACAGAGCCUCACAGAGAAAAGCUGUGUGUUACAGCUGAUAAUGAGGUGUUAGUCAAGACUCUACCUUGGUGAAAAACCUUGUUGGUGAGUGGUUUCCUUUCAGUGAAAUGAGUAAAAAAGCAGCUUUUGUCACAGGCUUUUAGUCCUGUAACACCUUAUAUAAGAGCUGUUAGAACCGUGAUUUCUUUUUUUGAAGAGAGCGGCCGAUGCUUCGCUGAGCGGCGGAUAACAAUGCGGUUUUAACAAGCAACACUCAUUCAUGCCAAUGACUCAAAAACCCUCUUUGUGUUUUAUUCUACCAUUACUCGGAAAAUGUUCUUUAACUUUCUAGCAAACAGAUAAAACAGCAGAGUCUAACCGGAGCUGGUUAAACGAUUAUUCAUCUUUUAUUAAUUUAUUAGAAUUUGACUGAAAAUUAUCGUAUUCCUCAUCCUUGAGAACAUGUUUUAUCCGUACAUCUUGAAGCUCUUGUUGUACAUCUUUGUUUUGCACGGUUACCAUGGUUACAGAUACAGUUGUGAAGAUGCUUUUCACACAAACAAACCAAACAGAUCUUCGGUCUGAAGUUUGAAGCCGCAGCGGUGAUGACAUUUGUGGUCAGAGCAUGCAUGUAAGCGCUCAGCGGGCACACACACACUCAUUAACGCCUCGUGUUGCGGACAAAGCCGAUAUGCUGAUAUGAUUAUGCCGUCAGCGAAGGGUGAGUGUGCUCUGUGAUUAAUUGUCGCCUCAGAUUCUCAUGUCCGUCUCUUUCUUUCUCUCACUCGCUUGUUUUUGUCCAAGAAAGCAAACUAAUGAGAAAACAAGUACAGGUCCUGAUAAAUUGCCUGUUAGUGGAAGGUCAGACGAGCCAUCUGGAGGACCUGACAGAGCCUGUUAUAGUGAUACCAAGUGUGUGUGUAUGUGUGUGUGUGUGGGUGCUCACAAUAAUAAGGCUAACAUGCAGACCUAUAGGCUCUCUGUGUGAAACAGUGUCAUUAAAGCCGAGGAAACAGACAUGUUCUCACUCCGAGAUCUUUAAAUGAGGCAGCUCCGUCAGCAGACUUCAGAUAUCUCCACCCAAGUUCUACUCUCCACUCACUUUUAGACAUGCUGGGAUUUCAGGGAUUCACAGUCAGUGAACUCGACUGUCUUUAGACCCUAAAAACUACAAACCAAGUGGCUUUGUCAAGGGUUAAGUGGAUCUGAACAUCUCUAAAACGGUAGGUGUCGAGAGCAAACAGGGGAGAUGUACUGUGCAGAUCACCUGAUGAGGUUGUAAACAGAAUACAGCGUUAUACAGUCGCCAUGAUGAGCACAAGAAAAGUAGAAAAUCAUUGCUCCUAUUGUGUUUGAUUGUUACUCUAAUUGGGAUCACAUGCAUGCUGGUAAUUACAGAUGUUAUUUGGAGAUCCUGUCAUUAUGUAUAUCAUUAAAUAAGACGUCACAGACAUCACUUACAGACACUUCAGCUCUUACAAAAUUCAGCUGUAAGAGUUCUGAUGAGGGCCAGAGGGCGAGAGCGUAUAACGCCAGUUUUAGCAUCGCUGCAUCGGCUCCCCGUCUGUUUCAGGACUGAAUUUAAAAGUUCCUCUUUUAUUAGUUUUUAGAUGUAUUAAUGGUCUUUGCCCCUCUUAUUUAUCUGACUUACUUCUAUCAUAUCAACCCUUGUGGACCCUUUUAAGGCCUUUUAACCUUUUAACCCAAAAUUAAAACAAAAACACACGGGGAGGGAGGCGGCGCUCACUUCUAUGGUCCCUGGUUGUGGAACAGCCUGCCGGAGAUCCUCAAGACUCACCUCUUUAACCAGACUUUUUACUGAUUACCUUUUUAUAUUUCUCUUAUUGCAAAUGUUCAUUUUAAUCCAAGUUCUGUUACGGCUGUGUGUUUGUUUAGUGUGUGUUUUUCCCCUUUUGUCUCUCCAUAGCUGCCCAGGUGAAAUCACUUGAGUGCCAAUCAGACUCACCUGGUGCUGGGAGUCUAAAAGCCCAGAGCUGCCUGCAGUCUGGAGAGGCAUUUGGUGGGGAACUGCUGCCCUGCUUCCUCUCAUUUGUGUUGUGGGUGCUUUGUGUCUAGUUUGCAAUUUUGUUAAUUUGUCACAAUAAAUCACGUGUUAAACUUUUGAAGGUGUUUUGAUAAUUUGAUGGGUCAAAAGUUGAGGAUUGUUGUUAGCCCCAUAGGGCCGCCUAAGGGUGGGGCGUAACAGUUUAAUGUUUAUUUUAUGUCAUUUUAUUAAUUAUUGUUCUUAGUCUUUUUCUUAAUUCCUGUCAUAGAGGUUUUUACUUCUUUUACCCCUUUUUUAUAUUGUAAAGAACGCUCACUUAUUUGUUCAUUCAAUAUUAUUUUCUUGUUUUAGUCCAUCAGGUUUUACUCUCUUUUUACAAUUUUUUAUCUUUUAUCUCCAGUGUCUCCAGGGUCGGGUUUUAUUGUUGUUAAUUGUUGUUUUGGUCUGAAAAGUGCCCUAAAAAUAAAGUUGAAUUUGACUUUGAGAUUCAGUGGUGUCAGUCCGUCAGUAAAGGGGAGCUUGUUUUUCUCCAGAAUGUCUCUGAGUGGUUAGGAGACACCGUCCACGCUGGAUAAUGGUUUAUAGUCUGGUUCUGUUGGCGUCAGCUGCUUUCAGCGUGCAGCCACGCCUCGUCGAUAACGAAGGAAAAGGUAAAGCUACUUUAAAGUGCAACAUGGAUGCUCACUUACUUUUGUUGUUUCCCUCUUUUUCCUCCCGAUGGAGAUGCAUGAGAGAGGUGCAAAGAUGCCUGGAAGAGAGAGGAGAGAAAGUUUAAUGCUAUGCUGCACCCGUGCAACGAAGAUUGAAAUAAAACUAAAAUAUCAUAAAAGGCAAUGAAAGAAAAUAUAUCUAAGGAUGAAUAUAAAGCAGAAGAUCUUUAACUUCUGCAGCCGUAAAUCUGAAUGCAUGUGUUUGGGAGCUAAAAGGAGCUUUAGAAGAAUCCUGCAAAGACUUUGUGAACGUGAACUGUUGCACCAUCUGUUGUUGACAAAAAUAGCAGGACUCCCUUUCUUUCCUCUUUCGAUGCAGCUCCUGCCUCGUCCUGUCAAUUCAGAGUUCAGCAGCCGAGGAGUCCAGAAUGUUAAUGUUUCCAUUAUCAUUGGAGUGAGAAGCUGCUUGUACUGUGAAUCGCUAAGUAGCGUCCAGCAAAUGGGAUUGCCUCAGAUGUCAUCACAUGUUGACAACAUUGGCAAGACAAACUUUGGUCACAUGAUUACAGCAGCGGGUCGAACAUGGAGGUUAAAACUGGGGGACAAGAGUCAAGUACGCUGGAUUUAACUAAUCUGAAAUACACAAAGUAAGGGGCUGUCCAAACACUCAUCUGUGCACAGUGGGUUAAAGAAGACCUGCAGGGCAUGAAAAAGGUUGGAUUAUUCGAGAGCGGAGUCAGUCUCUGAUAUCUGUGACCAUAAUGGUCAGCAGUGAAGUGCCCAUGAUAGAGAGCUUGGUGAAACUCUUGGUCUGGAGUUUCUGGGUCAUGCAGGGCUGAGGUGGCGCAGGUAGAUAGGGGGGAUAGUCCUGUUGGGUCCACAUGGAUCAGGGAUUGACCAUCAGAUUGUUCCGCGUUACUGAUAAAUCCAGAAUCAGGAAGUAUUUCUCAUCUACACCAACUGAUACACAGUCAGGAGUUCACAUGUGGUGUUUUAUUUUGAAAUACCGGAUGACAUCCACGGUUUUCUUGAUUGACUUCCUGUCUACAACGAUCUUCUCUGUGUGGAUUGACGCGCAUUGGAAGCAUAGAGCAGCAAAAAUCGACUCGCUGUGUAUCUUUAGCAGAGCUGCUCUUGACACGAUGCUGCGACGGAGCUGAGACGCAUCCUGUACGCUUUGCUGCGUGAUACGCGAUACUGCUGCUACGUCCAAAUAUGCAUCCUGUAUGUUUUAGUCUUGAGCCCUCAUCUUCUGGCAUCCCUAGAUCAUACCCGUGCAUGCAUACAUAACUAAAUAACUCCCUUAACUAACCCCCCCACCUCCACCUCUGAGGUAACACGCCACCUUUGCAUCAACUAAACCUCAUUCUGCACGCUGUGAGGCCCGACAUCAGGCGUAUAAUGAGGCUCUGAGAUUCAUCAGGAAUAAUCAAUCAAUGAAGUCAACAUUUUAGGAGUGUUCUGCAUGUUUUUCUGGUCAAAGCAGAAACACAGGCUUUUUCAAUCCACUUUAUAAUGGAGGUACUUUUGUUUCCAAUUUAGGAAACAAAUAGAUAGAAAACCAUAAUAUGAUUAACUUGGGUAGAUGCUCUGCUGCUGCUGCUGCUAUUAUGAGUUUAAGACAUACAGUAAAAGAAGGAGCCAUGGUUACAAAGGAAAACUGCAUCUGCGGUUGGUGUGGGUUAAUCUUACGAUUAGAAGGAUCGUGUAUCUAAUGGGGACACCACUUUCCAUUUGUAUUAUGAUGCGGGAUCAUGACUGGAGUCGAGGUCUGUUGAGGAUGCUUUGUUUCCUGCCUGUCCUGAUGGAACAGAGUCAUUGAUAUUCGAGGAGGACCGCCCCUCACAGUCCCGCAGUCCCCUCUGAAGUGCUUAUGAAUUCAGAGUCGGAGGAACAAUAAUCAUAAUUGCAUCUGAUUGUUUAUCUGUGUUGCGUAUUUGUCUGACUUUCACCAAAUGUCAUUAAAUCUGCUGCGGCACGAAUUCACCCAAGGCCUCCUGCAGAAGAAGAAGAAGAAGAAAAUCUGUGCAGAAACAAUUACCUUCCCUCCUCGGGAAAUGAGGUCAUAAUAACUGUCGAGACCCAACAACUUAAUCUUACUGGUGAUCAACACGGCCAUGCCUCAGCGUCCUCUACCUCUAUUAGCAUAAAUGAGGCGGUAAUGGAAGGUAUUACCAUACAAGAAAACCCACUGCAAAACAACUCCAUUAGCUCCUCUGGAUCUGGUUUGUUUCUCCACCGCUAAGCAGGCGGAGGCAGCAGACGACGGUGUGAAACAUGCGCGGACGUAUUCUCCGCUUAUUUAAAACAUAAAAAUAAAUGGAGAACAUAUCCAUGUCCGUCUGAUUGUCUGACAAGUUCGGGUGACUCAGAGCGACUGAACAAAUAACAGUCUUGACGUAUACGCCGGGUAAUAGAGGAAUAAUUUGGUAUGAGUCUGAAAUACAGAGCUCGGAGUUAUGAGUCACCUCUGAAUGAGAUUUGAAGGAGGAAUAUUCGGAAAUUUAAAACCAUAAUGGAGGUUUUUCAGUUAUUUUUAUACGUAUAAUUGCACUUUAGUGUUGGAGGAUUUUCAUGGACCACUUUAUGCACACGGUCAAUCAAUGCAGACGUUUAUUCUUAAGACUUAGAAGUAGGGUAGGUAGGAAUAUGUUACAGAAGCAACUGUUUUCGUGGUGUAUCUACAAAAAAUCUUUUAAUAUCAGUCAAUAGUUAUUAGUUGAACAGCUGUGCAGGACCAGACCAGUGGAGUCAUGAGAGUGGCUUUCUUUCUCUGUAUGCUCUCGGAGAGGUGGUCACAUCUUUAAAUCUGUAGAGAGACACAGUGGGUCAUGUUUUUGUCUCAUCUGAUAUCUCCUUUUUACUGGUACAGGUUUAUUCCCCCUUUUUUAAUAUCAACACAGAUUUCUACAGCAGCACGAACAGUUUAAAAACUGCUUCAACAAACUUGCAGCUGCUAAAUAAACUGUAUUUGAGUUUUAUCCCCUUGCAUUAAAGGAGGGGUAGGCAGGAUUCGUGUCGUUCAUGAACCCAAACAAAGUUAGCGUGCUACAAUAUCGGACAGUAGAAACCAACCAGAAAGUUCGGAAAAUCGUCUGAAUCCUCCUUUGGCCACGACUGCCGACACAAGCAAGAAAACGAAGUAAAUACCGGAGACUCUGGAGGAAUAACGGGCGCUUAAAAUGGAGGUAGACCGGACAAGAGCUAAAAAGCCGGGUCAACAUAAACGAUGGGGGACGCUUGGGGAUCUUGGUGACCCUGUAACCUUUCUGCUGGACAGGUAAACCGCUUUAACAAAGUAAGACAAGUGUCUGUAACAGAAGUGUUUCUUGUCAAACGGACCUGCUGUAGCGUGUUGUAGCGCCAUCGCUAAACUGUCCUCCCUCGGGUCCUGGACUAUGUCACUUUAUCCUCGUUGUAGAAGUCCUGCAAACAUUGUGUUUGCUGGUAGUCUGUUGGCAUCUACAGUAGCACCAAUGCUUUUGACUUUCACCUGGA